rnacentral:rRNA from 1 species
CCCUUAGACGUUCUGGGCCGCACGCGCGCUACACUGAACAGUUCAACAAGUCUUAACCUUGGCCGAUAGGUCUGGGUAAUCUUUGAACGCUGUUCGUGAUUGGGAUAGACCUUUGCAAUUAUGGGUCUUCAACGAGGAAUUCCUAGUAAACGCAAGUCAUCAGCUUGCAUUGAUUACGUCCCUGCCCUUUGUACACACCGCCCGUCGCACCUACCGAUUGAAUGGUCCGGUGAAGCCUCCGGAUUGGCGCGCACCUCGGUGCCGCCGAGAAGUUGGCUAAACCUUACCAUUUAGAGGAAGGUGAAGUCGUAACA